GGUCAAGUGAAUAAGUGCAUAUGGUGGAUGCCUUGGCGAUUACAGGCGAUGAAGGACGUGAUAGUCUGCGAAAAGCUUCGGGGAGCUGGCAAAUAAGCUUUGAUCCGGAGAUGUCCGAAUGGGGAAACCCACCCGCAAGGGUAACCGCUCCUGAAUAUAUAGGGAGAUGGUGGCAAACCGAGUGAACUGAAACAUCUAAGUAGCUCGAGGAAAAGAAAUCAACCGAGAUUCCGUAAGUAGUGGCGAGCGAACACGGAACAGCCUGUUAUUUUUAGCACAUGCGAUAGUAGAACGGAAUGGAAAGUCCGGCCAUAGAGGGUGAUAGCCCCUUAUACGAAAUCCCGUGUGUGGAACUAGGAUAACGACAAGUAGGGCGGGGCACGAGAAACCUUGUCUGAACAUGGGGGGACCAUCCUCCAAGGCUAAAUACUCGUAAUCGACCGAUAGUGAACUAGUACCGUGAGGGAAAGGCGAAAAGAACCCCGGGAGGGGAGUGAAAUAGAACCUGAAACCGUAUGCAUACAAACAGUGGGAGCGGACUUGUUCCGUGACUGCGUACCUUUUGUAUAAUGGGUCAGCGACUUACAUUCAGUAGCAAGCUUAACCGAUAGGGGAGGCGUAGCGAAAGCGAGUCCGAAUAGGGCGUUCAGUUGCUGGGUGUAGACCCGAAACCAAGUGAUCUAUCCAUGGCCAGGAUGAAGGUGCCGUAACAGGUACUGGAGGUCCGAACCCACAAAUGUUGAAAAAUUUGGGGAUGAGCUGUGGAUAGGGGUGAAAGGCUAAACAAACUUGGAGAUAGCUGGUUCUCUCCGAAAACUAUUUAGGUAGUGCCUCGUAUAUCAUUCUCGGGGGUAGAGCACUGUUAUGGCUAGGGGGUGCAUAAGUACUUACCAAACCAUUGCAAACUCCGAAUACCGAGAAAUGCAAUUACGGGAGACAGACUGCGGGUGCUAACGUCCGUAGUCAAGAGGGAAACAACCCAGACCGACAGCUAAGGUCCCAAAUGACGUGCUAAGUGGAAAACGAAGUGGGAAGGCACAGACAGCCAGGAGGUUGGCUUAGAAGCAGCCAUCCUUUAAAGAAAGCGUAAUAGCUCACUGGUCGAGUCGUCCUGCGCGG
rnacentral:ncRNA from 1 species